UCGCCCCUUCACUACAAGCUGCAAUACAAGCCUUCACAGCCUUUCCCUUCCUCCAUCGUUGAAACAAAGGUUGCUCAUCACCUCUAAAUUAUCCAUGUAGAUCUACAAUUCAAAAAAAAAAAUCGCAGCCCUAAUAAUCAAUUCCGCUACGCAAAUUUCAAAUCGCAGCCCUUAUCAUCUUUGAUCUGUUCCAUGGCAAAAACCCUAACCAGCAUUUUUUCCUCUUUCUUUGUAAAUCUGAUUGUGAAUCUCUCUUUCAAAAAUUCCUCCAAAGAUCUCUUAAUAUUUUCAAUCGUGGUCUACAUAGAGAUGAAAAGAGGGCGGAAGAGAGAGAAGGAGUACAACCUUCUGCGGCUCGAUGUUCAACCUUCGUUAUUGUAUUUACGGAAAAACAACGAGUAGAGUUGAAGAGCAGAGAACGUCAACUGGUCCAUAACAGAUUAACAGCAAUGACUUACAUUGUUGUUGUCAUCUAUAGAUGACUUUCACAACUCAUUCCACAUCCUAUUCUUAGCGUACUUGUCCUUUUCUUUGGAAGAUGAGAGAAGUUUGGCUUUAUGUUCAUUGCUUUGAUUUGGAAAUUCGACUUCUCACCAUUUGUGGUUCAAAUCAUAGCGAUUCUUAACGAUGGAACAAUUACGACAAUUUCAAAGGACAGAGUAGUGCCAUCCCCACUAAACUACCAGAUAGCUGGAAGUUGAAAGAGAUAUUCGCCACUGGUGUUGUUUUGGGAGGCUACCAAGCACUAAUGACAGUAUUAUUCUUCUGGCUCAUGUCAGACACUACCUUCUUCGUGGUAAAAAACAUCAAUCACCCUUCAAUUUACUUUAAGUAAGAAACAUUUUCAUGUAAGUCCACUGACUCACGGACAGAUGAUGUCAGCCUUGUACCUGCAAGUGAGUGUUAUUAGCCAGGCCCUUAUUUUUGUCACAAGGUCUCGAAGCUGGUCCUUUAUCGAACGCCCCGGGUUGCUGUUGGUCUUAUUAACCUUUUGAAAACCAGUCCAAAUCUUUUGUACCCCGUAUUAAUCUAUUUUUUCACAAUUCCUUCAUUAAUCAAAUAUUUUAUGAAAAAAAAUGUUUCAAUGGUCAAUUUAUAAUAUUCGUGCGUGCACGAGACAUAAUGUAGUUAUAUGCUAAUAAUCUGUACAGGUAGCAACUUUGAUAGAUGUGUAUGCGAGUUUCAAGUUUGCAAGGAUCGAAGCAAUGGGAUGGGGACGAGCAGGUGUUGUUUGGCUUUUCAGCCUGCCUGCUUUUACCACAAAGAAGGACUACGGAACAGAAGAGAGAGAAGCGCAGUGGGCGACUACUCAACGAACCAUGCAUGGUCUCCAACCUGCGGAAACCACCACUUUAUUCAAUGAGAAGAACAGUUAUAGGGAACUCUCUGAAAUUGCUGAGCAAGCCAAAAGGAGGGCUGAAGUUGCAAGCAAUUGAAUUUACUUCACUAUGAUAUUGUGACUUUAUGUUCGUGUCUGACAAAUUAAACCAGGGUUAAUGAAAAUUGUAGAAUUGUGCAUUUGGAGCAUGAUUUCUAUAAGGAAAAACAACGAGUUGAGUUGGAUAUUUGAUAGGUUAAGGUUCAAACAACUCCCUGCGACAUCAACAACAUAUUCGUUAAAAGAAAAGUCACUAAGUGAAGCCAAAGAAGAACAGAGAACAUCUGCAUUGAAUGUUGCUGGGCCACUCCCGCGACUGCUGAGGCUGCCGUGGAAGCAGCCCUGAUAUCUUCGUUAUGAAAUUACGGAGAGCUAUUCAAAACUUGGCUGUCAUUAAGAUAUUUGAUCUGCUUUCAAGGCAUAUCUUUAUUUUAUAUCAUAGGAAGGUUAGAGGCUGGUUGAUGUUGUUGGUGCUGCAUCUGCUUGUUCCUGCAAUUUUUGGCUGCUGUUGAGGCCGUUUUGGUGCUGGUUGCAGUCUACUCAGCUUCUGCAGGUGCUGCUGCCAGGAGAGUUGGGUGUGGGUUGUACCCCUGAUCUGCAGUCUGUUCCGCAGGGAGUGGGCUGGGGUAGCAGUCAGGUAUGCGGGAAUGCGUUGUUCUGCUGUUGUUGUGUACUGUCAGGCUGAUGUAUUGCUUUUCACUUUUUUUUUUGUAGUGUUUGGUUGUUAAGGAGUGGUAUGUACUCCUUUAACCUUUUAUGGUGUUUCUUGUUUGGAUUCUUGGUUCCUACCUUUUGGUAAUAAAUUUUGCUAAUUUACCAAAAAAUAAACAAUGCAUUAUUAUUUUAGUGAUUU